AGGUACACUGAAACACGCCCACGCACACACACUUUAGUAAAAAAAUUAAUAAUAAAACCUGUUAGCAACCAUUUUGUUAAUAUAAGCAGUAGUUGAACUAUGGAGGCCACAAAAGUAGUAGAUUAAAAAAAAUCCUCUAAACAAAUGAAAUGAAUUGAUAGAAUCGGUCGUCCAACCCUGAUCUGAAGCUAAUCAAGUUUUUCUGAUGGACUUCUAUUUCCAUGAUUUCCUUUGUCUCAACAGAUUGGCCUGUAAAUAGCCAAAAUCGCGGCAACGCGUGGCCUUACAAGUGAUGACCAGCUUGUAGAGGUCCCGGUGAGGGUCGUCCUCCGUACUCUGAGUCUCUCCCGGGACGUAAUCUCCGAGCCCGAUGGUGGUCAAGGAGAUGAAGCAGAAGUAGAGGGACUCCAGAAAGUUCCAGUCCCGCUCCACGGUGA